CUGGCUACCAUGCUGCUUUGAGGGCACUGAGUUACUAAUGCCCUCUGGAUUCUGUUUCCUUAUCUGUAAAAUAAUGAUAAUGGUACUUUGUAGGAUUUUUAAAAUAUAAAUAUCCCCAAAGCCUACCACAGUGUAUUGACACAGUAUAUACAGGCAAUAAUUACUGCAGACCCAUGUUUCCAAGUAUGGCUUGCAAAAAAAGAAGAGCCGAGGCCUGGGCCUGGGGUGGAGGUUGGAUACUGAGCACAGCCACUAAACUUGGAUUGAGAAGGAUACUCACCAAUCGGUUUGAGAUCUGCCAGUCAUCUCUCCUUGGGAGAAGCAUAGAAGUCGGACCCUCUCUGAAAAGGGCAGCUGAGCUGAGACUCACCAUAGAUCUGUCUUAGGGGUAAAGAAUUGAACAUGUCGAUGAAAGGGGUCUUCUUUUCCACCUGGGUCUUCCGGUACCACCACUUCAAGUACCUGAGGAGCAAGUGUUGAGUGUGAGUGUGAGGUGAGCGGGCUGUUUCCUAAAGCUGCACUCAUCAUCCUUCCCCUGGUCACCUCACUGUGACCUCCAACUCAGUGUCCCAAGGAUGUCAGCUUCUAUGAACAUUCCUAUAAUCUUAGCAUUCUGAAAGCUGAGGCAGAGGGAUUACAAGUUUGAGGCCAGCAUGGGCUACAUGGUGAGACUGUCUAAGACCCAUCACUAUUAUCUUCCAAGCCACCUUCCUCUGAUUACUCAAGUUCAAGGUCCCUUAUCUUCCCAGUUGCCCAAGUACUAGUGUAGGAUGCCCUUGUUUCUCUAUUCUGAGAGAACAGCAAUUCUUCUAACUACCACUACCACUGUUUUAGCUCAAACUGCAGGAGAUUUUGUCUGUGUUGAAAGGGCCAGUUGCCUGCCCUGGUUACAUUUUCCUCCACACAUCCCCCUAAUUUCCAAAUAAGCAGAGGCUGCCAAAAGGACUUCCUCUUUUAAAAACGAUUUCAUUUAUGAUUAUGAAAGGUGAGAAAUUGAAAAAUAUAUCAGGUGGAAGGAAAACCAUCUCAGCUGAAGAUAACUGAUGUGUAUCUAUAUCGUGGACCAUUUCCUCUUAAGCCCCAUCCCUGCUUCAGCAUUUAAUUUUCAGUUUUCAGAUUUUGUUCUUCCAAAAUACCCAAUAAAGUAACUGGUCAUGA